AUAUAUAUACAUAUAUUCGCAAUUUUAGGUGCUUCUGCACUCGCACGGAGGCGACAUUCCUCGAUUGCGUGGAGCUAAUACGACUCGAGGGAGCGAUCGUUUCGUCUUUCGAACACGUGUGUUCUUAUCAGUGGUCAUUUUUUUUUCUCAGGACACGAUAACAGUACUCGCAAAGCGUAAUUUCCGUUCAUGGCUUUUCGAGGAAACUUCGUUUUGCGAAAUUACUUGAUUCGUAAUCACGCUCUUUGUCAAAUGGAAAUUGCAUCUCUUACAUAGACAAGCCGUUUUACAGGAUUUAACGUUUUAAAUAUUCCCCUAUCUUUAAAUUUUAUGCAACGAUAAAUAAUAACAGUAAAAGUUUUAUAUUCUAAAAUAAGGAUUACGAGUAUAAACUAUAAGAAACGAUGUAAGUAUAAACUAUAAGGAACGAUAGUUAAAGUUCCGCGAACUUUUUAAAUGCCUUCUCUCCUUUCAUCGUUCUGCCAAAGGUAUAAAAUAAUAUAAGCAGACGCGUUAACAAUAGGACGCGAAUGAGUUGAAAUUAAAUAGUUACAUAAUAACAUCGAAAACAUCGUUUUUAAGGUACAAAAAAGGAAGGCCGAGGAGCACGGUUUAAUGGCGGUGAGCCGGCGUGAAAGGGGGCGCGCAUUUCUAUGUUUUUGUAGAAACCACAAGUGAAUUCGCGGCAACGAUCCGGCGCACCUGCGUUUCGUUUCGCAUGAUAUCACAGCCAUGCGAUAAAUUUUCAUUGCCACGCGUGUAGGAAUAAACUUUUAUUGACCAUUGAACGGUUUGAAUUUAAACGCGCCGCGUAUACGCGCGCAUAACCGCGCGUAACGACUGCACACGUAUACGCAACUAUAUCCCCGGGUUUAAAGGACUAUGAAUGUCUAGCACUAUCGUUUAAGAAAAUAUGUCGUUUAUGUUUCGAACGAUUACACGAGUGGUCUCCGCGGGAAAAAAUUUCAGGCAAAUUGAAUGUGUGUAAUAAUGUAGAGAUGGAACGCUUGAAUCCUUGAGAUCCGUCGAAAAAAUCCGUUUCUCCAAAAAACAUUUUCCUAUUUUUUUCCGACUCGAAACUUUGAGGUUAGGCGAAGAAUAAUUUAUAUAAAGAAAUAUUUAUCUCGAGGAAUGCUUUGAAACAACGAUAUCGCAUGGUGUCCAUCGAAACGAUGUCAAGAAUAUCCUGCGGUAAUCGUAAGUCACUUUAUUCAAAUGAAUCGAAACUAGUAUUUAUUGAACUAGUGUUAUAUAAGAUGCGCUUAAAAAAAAAACAUAUGUGUCAAAUCAUUUGAAUUUUUAACGCGAGAAGGUGUGACCAUCGUUAAUGCGACAAUAAUUAUGACGCGCAAAGUUGAAUCCGUGAAUCAACAGUGCUAAUGCGCAAG